AUUGAACGCUGGCGGCAUGCCUAACACAUGCAAGUCGAACGAGACCUUCGGGUCUAGUGGCGCACGGGUGCGUAACACGUGGGAAUUUGCCUCGGGGUAUGGAAUAACUCAGGGAAACUUGAGCUAAUACCAUAUAAUGUCUUCGGACCAAAGAUUUAUCGCCCUGAGAUAAGCCCGCGUAGGAUUAGCUAGUUGGUGAGGUAAGGCUCACCAAGGCGACGAUCCUUAGCUGGUCUGAGAGGAUGAUCAGCCACACUGGGACUGAGACACGGCCCAGACUCCUACGGGAGGCAGCAGUGGGAAGUAUUGGACAAUGGGCGAAAGGCCUGAUCCAGCAAUGCCGCGUGAGUGAUGAA
rnacentral:rRNA from 1 species